GGUAGUGUGGCCGAGUGGUCUAAGGAGCUGAAUUUAGGCUCCAGUCAUUUCAAUGGUGUGGGUUCAAGUCCCACUACUGCUA